rnacentral:tRNA from 1 species
GCAGCCGUGGCCUACUGGUUAGGGCUUCAGGCUUGUAACCGAAGGGUUGCCGGUUCGAUUCCCGACCAGUAGUC